rnacentral:rRNA from 1 species
GAUGAACGCUAGCGGGAGGCCUAACACAUGCAAGCCGAGCGGUAUUGUUUCUUCGGAAAUGAGAGAGCGGCGUACGGGUGCGGAACACGUGUGCAACCUGCCUUUAUCUGGGGGAUAGCCUUUCGAAAGGAAGAUUAAUACUCCAUAAUAUAUUGAACGGCAUCGUUUAAUAUUGAAAGCUCCGGCGGAUAGAGAUGGGCACGCGCAAGAUUAGCUAGUUGGUGAGGUAACGGCUCACCAAGGCGAUGAUCUUUAGGGGGCCUGAGAGGGUGAUCCCCCACACUGGUACUGAGACACGGACCAGACUCCUACGGGAGGCAGCAGUGAGGAAUAUUGGUCAAUGGGUGCAAGCCUGAACCAGCCAUCCCGCGUGAAGGACGACUGCCCUAUGGGUUGUAAACUUCUUUUGUAUAGGGAUAAACCUACCCUCGUGAGGGUAGCUGAAGGUACUAUACGAAUAAGCACCGGCUAACUCCGUGCCAGCAGCCGCGGUAAUACGGAGGGUGCAAGCGUUAUCCGGAUUUAUUGGGUUUAAAGGGUCCGUAGGCGGACUUAUAAGUCAGUGGUGAAAGCCUGUCGCUUAACGAUAGAACUGCCAUUGAUACUGUAAGUCUUGAGUAUAUUUGAGGUAGCUGGAAUAAGUAGUGUAGCGGUGAAAUGCAUAGAUAUUACUUAGAACACCAAUUGCGAAGGCAGGUUACCAAGAUAUAACUGACGCUGAGGGACGAAAGCGUGGGGAGCGAACAGGAUUAGAUACCCUGGUAGUCCACGCCGUAAACGAUGCUAACUCGUUUUUGGGCUUUAGGGUUCAGAGACCAAGCGAAAGUGAUAAGUUAGCCACCUGGGGAGUACGCUCGCAAGAGCGAAACUCAAAGGAAUUGACGGGGGCCCGCACAAGCGGUGGAUUAUGUGGUUUAAUUCGAUGAUACGCGAGGAACCUUACCAAGACUUAAAUGGGAAUUGACAGCUUUAGAAAUAGAGCUUUCUUCGGACAAUUUUCAAGGUGCUGCAUGGUUGUCGUCAGCUCGUGCCGUGAGGUGUUAGGUUAAGUCCUGCAACGAGCGCAACCCCUGUCACUAGUUGCCAUCAUUCAGUUGGGGACUCUAGUGAGACUGCCUACGCAAGUAGAGAGGAAGGUGGGGAUGACGUCAAAUCAUCACGGCCCUUACGUCUUGGGCCACACACGUAAUACAAUGGCCGGUACAGAGGGCAGCUACACAGCGAUGUGAUGCAAAUCUCGAAAGCCGGUCUCAGUUCGGAUUGGAGUCUGCAACUCGACUCUAUGAAGCUGGAAUCGCUAGUAAUCGCGCAUCAGCCAUGGCGCGGUGAAUACGUUCCCGGGCCU